GAAAACUGGGGGCAAGCAGGCGGGGUAGUCCGGUGGGGGCGAGAGUUAGCCGGAGUUACUGGGGUUAAAGGUGGUGUAGGCGGACUUUUAAGUGAGGGGUGAAAUCCCGAGGCUCAACCUCGGAACGUCCUUUGAUACUAGUAGUCUUGAAUUAUGUUGAGGUUGGCGGAAUAUAACAUGUAGCGGUGAAAUGCAUAGAUAUGUUAUAGAACACCGAUUGCGAAGGCAGCUGGCUAAACAUAUAUUGACGCUGAGGCACGAAAGCGUGGGUAGCGAACAGGAUUAGAUUCCCGGGUAGUC
rnacentral:rRNA from 1 species